UCUUGACGGUACCUAAUCAGAAAGCCACGGCUAACUACGUGCCAGCAGCCGCGGUAAUACGUAGGUGGCAAGCGUUAUCCGGAAUUAUUGGGCGUAAAGCGCGCGUAGGCGGUUUUUUAAGUCUGAUGUGAAAGCCCACGGCUCAACCGUGGAGGGUCAUUGGAAACUGGAAAACUUGAGUGCAGAAGAGGAAAGUGGAAUUCCAUGUGUAGCGGUGAAAUGCGCAGAGAUAUGGAGGAACACCAGUGGCGAAGGCGACUUUCUGGUCUGUAACUGACGCUGAUGUGCGAAAGCGUGGGGAUCAAACAGGAUUAGAUACCCUGGUAGUCCACGCCGUAAACGAUGAGUGUUAAGUGUUAGGGGGUUUCCGCCCCUUAGUGCUGCAGCUAACGCAUUAAGCACUCCGCCUGGGGAGUACGACCGCAAGGUUGAAACUCAAAGGAAUUGACGGGGGCCCGCACAAG
rnacentral:rRNA from 1 species